AGAGCCAUCCUUCCUAGUCAGAUCUAUUUGGAGUCAGAGACCCUUCUGAGGGCGGAGGAAGUAAAACUCCAGCCGGGUGGAUAAUCACUCAGCAGCGUAAGGUGUUGCCUUCCUUGAGGCUGUUGGCCCAGGCUGCGGGAUGGCAGCCUGCUCUGCCUUGGCGCUGUCCAGUGAUAACAGCUUUUUGGUUGAGAAGCUCUUUCUAUCAAGUGGUUUGUUUCCCUGCCUGACAGCUGCAGACAUCCCUCACGUGUAGAUUCUAUAAGAAGACCAGGACGUAGAGUAGCAUUGGAGAUAGGAGUGUGUGGGAGUGUGUGCUGGAGGGAGGUAGGAAGGAGAAAGCUCCAGUGUUCUGCACCACGGGGGGUUGGGGGAGGGGUGGCUACAGCUCACAAGAACCAUCUAGUUUAUGAAUAACUGGAAGGGAGAAGCUUAAAGGCUACAAAUACAAGGUGAUGCUAAACCAGGUUG
ensembl:antisense Gm28411 predicted gene 28411